UUGCUGCCAAGAUUGGUUGAGAAAUGAAAAAAAAAACCCAUCCAACUUGAAGAAUCCAUUGAAGAGCUUGAAAAUUGGGAGUCAGAUUACUCAAGAUCCUAAUGUUAUGGAGAUUAUUAUUCCAAGAACUAGAGUGGAUUGCUAGGUGACAUCAUAUUGGAGGAAGGCUUGAAGGAGUUCAUUUUAUGUGGAAAAUGUAGCUAUAAGGAAUGUGGAGGCUAGUUGUUGUUUUUUUUUUUUUUU